CCUACGGGAGGCAGCAGUAGGGAAUAUUGCUCAAUGGGGGAAACCCUGAGGCAGCAACGCCGCGUGGAGGAUGAAGGUUUUCGGAUUGUAAACUCCUUUUGUUAGAGAAGAUAAUGACGGUAUCUAACGAAUAAGCACCGGCUAACUCCGUGCCAGCAGCCGCGGUAAUACGGAGGGUGCAAGCGUUACUCGGAAUCACUGGGCGUAAAGAGCGCGUAGGCGGGAUAGCAAGUCAGAUGUGAAAUCCUAUGGCUUAACCAUAGAACUGCAUUUGAAACUGUUAUUCUAGAGAAUGGGAGAGGUAGGUGGAAUUCUUGGUGUAGGGGUAAAAUCCGUAGAGAUCAAGAGGAAUACUCAUUGCGAAGGCGACCUGCUAGAACAUAACUGACGCUGAUGCGCGAAAGCGUGGGGAGCAAACAGGAUUAGAUACCCUAGUAGUC
rnacentral:rRNA from 1 species